rnacentral:rRNA from 1 species
GACGUAGGGCGCGAGCGUUGUCCGGAUUUAUUGGGCGUAAAGAGCUCGUAGGUGGCCUGUCGCGUCGGCUGUGAAAACUCGGGGCUCAACUCCGAGCUUGCAGUCGAUACGGGCAGGCUAGAGUUCGGCAGGGGGAGACUGGAAUUCCGUGGUGUAGCGGUGAAAUGCGCAGAUAUCAGGAGGAACACCGGUGGCGAAGGCGGGACUCUGGGCCGAUACUGACGCUGAGGAGCGAAAGCGUGGGGAGCAAACAGG